rnacentral:rRNA from 1 species
UACAGAGGUCUCAAGCGUUGUUCGGAUUCAUUGGGCGUAAAGGGUGCGUAGGCGGCGCGGUAAGUCGGGUGUGAAAUCUCGGAGCUUAACUCCGAAACUGCAUUCGAUACUGCCGUGCUUGAGGACUGGAGAGGAGACUGGAAUUUACGGUGUAGCGGUGAAAUGCGUAGAUAUCGUAAGGAAGACCAGUGGCGAAGGCGGGUCUCUGGACAGUUCCUGACGCUGAGGAACGAAAGCUAGGGGAGCAAACAGG